rnacentral:rRNA from 1 species
AGUGAACGCUGGCGGUAGGCCUAACACAUGCAAGUCGAACGGCAGCACAGUAAGAGCUUGCUCUUACGGGUGGCGAGUGGCGGACGGGUGAGGAAUACAUCGGAAUCUACUUUUUCGUGGGGGAUAACGUAGGGAAACUUACGCUAAUACCGCAUACGACCUACGGGUGAAAGCAGGGGAUCUUCGGACCUUGCGCGAUUGAAUGAGCCGAUGUCGGAUUAGCUAGUUGGCGGGGUAAAGGCCCACCAAGGCGACGAUCCGUAGCUGGUCAGAGAGGAUGAUCAGCCACACUGGAACUGAGACACGGUCCAGACUCCUACGGGAGGCAGCAGUGGGGAAUAUUGCACAAUGGGCGCAAGCCUGAUCCAGCCAUACCGCGUGGGUGAAGAAGGCCUUCGGGUUGUAAAGCCCUUUUGUUGGGAAAGAAAAGCAGCAGGUUAAUACCCCGCUGUUCUGACGGUACCCAAAGAAUAAGCACCGGCUAACUUCGUG